GACUGAUGCAGCCAUGCCGCGUGUGUGAAGAAGGCCUUCGGGUUGUAAAGCACUUUCAGCGGGGAGGAAGGCGAUGAGGUUAAUAACCUUGUCGAUUGACGUUACCCGCAGAAGAAGCACCGGCUAACUCCGUGCCAGCAGCCGCGGUAAUACGGAGGGUGCAAGCGUUAAUCGGAAUUACUGGGCGUAAAGCGGCACGCAGGCGGGUCUGUCAAGUCGGGAUGUGAAAAUCCCCCGGGCUCGACCUGGGAACUGCAUUUCGAAACUGGGAAGGCUAGAGAUCUUGUACAAGGGGGGUAAAAUUCCCAGGUGUAGGGGGUAAAAUGCUUAAAGAUCCGGAAGAAAUACCGGUGGCCAAAGGCGGCCCUCUGGACAAAAACGGAGGCUUAAGUGCCAAAUGCUUGGGGGGCGCCGGGGUUGGUUCCCCGGGUACUCCCCCCUUAAACCAAUGCGAAUUUGAAGUUUUGCCCUUGAGCUGGGUUUCGAACCAACCCGUUAUUCCCCCCCCGGGGAUUUAGCCCC
rnacentral:rRNA from 1 species